rnacentral:rRNA from 1 species
UACGAAGGGGGGCUAGCGUUGCUCGGAAUCACUGGGCGUAAAGCGCACGUAGGCGGACUCUUAAGUCGGUGGUGAAAUCCUGGAGCUCAACUCCAGAACUGCCUUCGAUACUGAGAGUCUCGAGUCCGGGAGAGGUGAGUGGAACUGCGAGUGUAGAGGUGAAAUUCGUAGAUAUUCGCAAGAACACCAGUGGCGAAGGCGGCUCACUGGCCCGGUACUGACGCUGAGGUGCGAAAGCGUGGGGGAGCAAACAGGG